rnacentral:rRNA from 1 species
UACGGAGGGUGCGAGCGUUGUUCGGAAUCACUGGGCGUAAAGCGCGUGUAGGCGGCCCACUAAGUCUGAUGUGAAAGCCCGGGGCUCACCCCCGGAAGUGCAUUGGAAACUGGUGGACUAGAGUCCCGGAGAGGAGAGUGGAAUUCCUGGUGUAGCGGUGAAAUGCGUAGAUAUCAGGAGGAACACCGGUGGCGAAGGCGGCUCUCUGGACGGUGACUGACGUUGAGACGCGAAAGCGUGGGGAGCAAACAGG